ensembl:lncRNA
GAUCCAUAUAAAAGUACAUCAUGUAUGUUUUGUGGUUUUGUACUCAAAAGUACAUCAUGUAUGUUUUGUGGUGGUGUGUGGUGGUGUGUGGAGGUGGUGUGGAGGUGGUGUAGUGGUGUGUGGAGGUGUGUGGUGGGGUGUGGAGGUGGUGUAGGGGUGUGUGGAGGUGUGUAGUGGUGUGUGGAGGUGGUGUAGUGGUGUGUGGAGGUGGUGUAGUGGGGUGUGGAGGCGUGUGGAGGUGGUGUAGUGGGGUGUGGAGGUGUGUGGAGGUGGUGUAGUGGUGUGUGGAGGUGUGUAGUGGUGUGUGGAGGUGGUGUAGUGGUGUGUGGAGGUGGUGUAGUGGGGUGUGGAGGCGUGUGGAGGUGUUGUAGUGGUGUGUGGAGGCGUGUGGAGGUGGUGUAGUGGUGUGUGGAGGUGUGUGGAGGUGGUGUAGUGGUGUGUGGAGGUGUGUAGUGGUGUGUGGAGGCGUGUGGAGGUGGUGUAGUGGGGUGUGGAGGUGGUGUAGUGGUGUGUGGAGGUGGUGUAGUGGGGUGUGGAGGUGGUGUAGUGGGGUGUGGAGGUGUGUGGAGGGGUGUGGUGUGGAGGUGGUGUGUGGAGGUGUGUAGUGGUGUGUGGAGGUGGUGUAGUGGCGUGUGGAGGUGUUGUAGUGGGGUGUGGAGGUGGUGUAGUGGGGUGUGGAGGCGUGUGGAGGUGGUGUAGUGGUGUGUGGAGGUGUGUAGUGGUGUGUGGAGGUGGUGUAGUGGUGUGUGGAGGUGGUGUAGUGGUGUGUGGAGGUGUGUAGUGGUGUGUGGAGGUGGUGUAGUGGGGUGUGGAGGUGUGUGGAGGUGGUGUAGUGGUGUGUGGAGGUGUGUAGUGGUGUGUGGAGGUGGUGUAGUGGUGUGUGGUGGGGUGUGGAGGUGGUGUAGUGGUGUGUGGAGGUGGUGUAGUGGGGUUUGGAGGUGGUGUAGUGGUGUGUGGAGGUGUGUGGUGGGGUGUGGAGGUGGUGUAGUGGUGUGUGGAGGCGUGUGGAGGUGGUGUAGUGGGGUGUAGUGGUGUGUGGUGGGGUGUGGAGGUGGUGUAGUGGUGUGUGGAGGUGGUGUAGUGGGGUUUGGAGGUGGUGUAGUGGUGUGUGGAGGCGUGUGGAGGUGGUGUAGUGGUGUGUGGAGGCGUGUGGAGGUGGUGUAGUGGUGUGUGGAGGUGGUGUAGUGGGGUGUGGAGGUGUGUGGUGGGGUGUGGAGGUGGUGUAGUGGUGUGUGAUGGGGUGUGGAGGUGGUGUGGUGUGGUGUGGAGGUGGUGUAGUGGGGUGUGGAGGUGUGUGGUGGGGUGUGGAGGUGGUGUAGUGGUGUGUGGAGGUGUGUGAUGGGGUGUGGAGGUGGUGUGGUGUGGUGUGGAGGUGG